rnacentral:rRNA from 1 species
UUUAUCUUAGUGGCGGACGGGUGAGUAACGCGUGGGUAACCUGCCCUGUACAGGGGGAGUAACACUUAGAAAUAGGUGCUAAAACCGCAUAAGCGCACAGUACCGCAUGGUACAGUGUGAAAAACUCCGGUGGUACAGGAUGGACCCGCGUCUGAUUAGCUGGUUGGAGGGGUAACGGCCCACCAAGGCGACGAUCAGUAGCCGGCCUGAGAGGGUGAACGGCCACAUUGGGACUGAGACACGGCCCAAACUCCUACGGAAGGCAGCAG